UAUUCAAUGGGGCUAUAUUUAACGCUUAUUAUACGCUUAACUUGAUUAUUCGUAUCGUAUACUAAGUUUUUACUAAAUAUAUAGCUGUGAUAGACAUCAUGUCACUUUUAUAUACAUUUUCAAAUUUGACCGUAUAGUUACGACUCAUUCCGGUCUCAUGACAGUGCUGAUGAAGUUACGCUCUCAUUACGGUGCUAAUGAGAUUUCAAAAUGUUUUAUAUAACACGCGCGGUAAAACCUCGUUUAUCCGCAGCUUGUUUAUACGAACAAAUUAAUUCUGAGCCUCUUUAAGCACAGACCGUCACGUAACCGCAACGUCACGUACCGGUCGGUGACGAAUAGUGUGAACGGUCUCAUUUAAAACGUAUGUUUCAAUGUUUUGUCGUGACGUUGCCGUUACGUAACGGUCCGCGCCGUAUAGCGUAAAUUGACCUUUAUUCCUAUAAUAGAAAUAUUUACAUACACGCGAUCAUUUGUCCUUCUUCAAAAUAAAUUCUAUCUGUCAAAGGAGGAACAAUCGAAAUUCCAACACCUGCGGGGCACUGUCCACGAAGCGUCGCUUCGUACAAGCGUAAACGUUUGUUUGUUGUCUAUUAAAACGUGACGAUACGUCUAUGAGCGAUGUUGAGUCUACGAGGCGUACAUUGCAGGCAGACACAUGUCGCAGACAAACAGCAUCUUUCCUGCAAAAUCCACGGACGACGGGAGACAACAUUUAAGCGGAAAGACAGCUCGCGGAUAAAACCACGUCCACACCGACUGACAAUUAUCGGCAGACACGCGUCAGGGAGAAUCCCAAUAAAAUGCACGUCCGCAGUCAAGUAUUUUAUUAUCCACUGAGAUGGAAGACACGAGAGACGCGUGCGGGCAAAAACUCUCAGAAAAAAUAUGCAUUUUAUCUAGUUUGGGAAGUAACGAUUCCGCUGUGCGACGCUGAGAUUUAUGACACGGUACUUGAUACGGUGACAAGAAACGGUGAAAGUAGAAAAUUUGAAAAUACACGCCGUUUGUCGAAAUCACUGCAAAGUCACGUAAUGAAGUCACGCGUCGUAAAGAAUCGUUCGGAAAUAGAGCAAAGGUCAACAUUAUUUUUAUCUCAGAACCAUAUAUUUUCUAAUACGUUGAUCGAUCUUUCUUGAAAUUCCCCAUAAAAGUUUUAUUGUUAUUAUUAUAAAUGUUAUUAUAAAAUGUAUUACAAUAAACUUAUUACGCUUUAUGUUAUAUAUGAAACACUUAUUAACACCAAAGAAACAAAUUUGUCCAACAGUCGAAAAACACAAAUAAAAUCAUUAGAUACUGGGUUUCUGUUAAAUGUUAAUAA